rnacentral:rRNA from 1 species
UACGUAGGUGGCAAGCGUUGUCCGGAUUUAUUGGGCGUAAAGGGAGCGCAGGCGGUGACUUAAGUCUGAUGUGAAAGCCCACGGCUCAACCGUGGAAGGUCAUUGGAAACUGGGUCACUUGAAUAUAGAAGAGGGAAGUGGAAUUCCACGUGUAGCGGUGAAAUGCGUAGAGAUAUGGAGGAACACCAGUGGCGAAGGCGGCUUCCUGGUCUGUAACUGACACUGAGGCGCGAAAGCGUGGGGAGCAAACAGGAUUAGGAUACCCUGGUA